UUCAGUUAGGCAGACUGCAUAAUUUACUCUAGGAGCACGGGAAAUCCUUACAUUGGAGGCCCCUUUCUGGAGCUUGUGACCAUGCUGCUGUAUUGGGAGUUUUGGAUGCACAGUUCACACAGGUAUCACAGUGUGGACAUGGUGGAGGAAAAAGUACUCUACUCUCUUGGAAGAGAUCUGCCAUCAAGUGUAAGCCCAGUUUGAAUUCAAACAUGCUUAUAUGUGGGAUGAAUUUAGAUGCAAGUUAAAAAGACUGAUAAAAACACAGAUAUUUCAGGGCAUCAUUCUCUAAGCCAUAUGAAUGCUGCUGUUGUAGUCCUGAAGUGCAUCACUCACCCUUUGUCAAAAUGCAGUCCUGUCUCAAACAGAAAACAAAUGAAGAGCACAUGAUGAGGGAAAAUCUCCUACUUAGAGGGCACAGAUUUGUGUCAAAUCUGUAGUAGUCAUGCUUAAGUCAUGAGCUGCUUUCUUUUGCAUGCAUAAAUUAACAGUUGCUUGAGUGAAGGGACUUGUGAAGACCCUGCAAAAGCAGUACAGUAAAUUCAUCACACUUAUCCACGAAACAAUUGUGCCUGACUUCUGCUUUAUCCUGUGUUUAGCAAUUAGGAGCAGCUGUAAUCCUGAGGCUUUGCUAUCUGUGGAACAUCACUGCUUGCCUCUACACUCAUGAUAGGGCAUUAAUCUUUCCCAUCCUCUGAUUCCCACCACAGGAGGUUUAUUGGAAUUUCCUCAGCACUGGCUUUUGAAAUAUGCUUUCCUACUGCCACAAAAUCCUAGUUGUUUAGUGGAUAAGUUUCCCCAUCCCCUUAAUCUAAGUUUGCUCUAUCACAGGAGAGUUUGCCUUUGAAAACAAAACAACAGAAACCUUGGCAAAUACUUGUUAAAAAUGCCAAGGAACAAAGUCUGGAAAAACAUGAUUCAAACAAGAUCUAGUUCCAGUCUUUUCACUUUCUUGUGCAUCCUCUAAUGUGAACAUCACCUGAUAAGGACUUUUCCCCAGAUAUUUUGUUAUACAUUAUUUUAACUUGACUGUAUGGCUCCUGCAGGACAGAAUUGUUCUGGUUCUUGACUUUUUUUUCUCUCCCCCAAGGUGAUUUUCUAUAAAAGGACAUUUAUAAUCUGAUGGAAUUGACUUUAAGGGGAAAAGGACAGUAUUUUAGAAUAGUACAAAAAUCAUCAGAAGCAAGGAAACAAUUCUAAGUAACUUGUUUUCCCCCAUGGCAUGCUAGGUUGACUAGCUUUAUUUUUCUUCAGUUCUGUUUUAUCAGAUGGCUCUCAAAUAUAUAAUGUUUACUCAAAUGCAAGAUAUUUAUCAGUUAGAUUUUCCACUUGUCCAUUUAUCAGUGGCUAGGCUUGGUUUAUUUUUCUGUAAUGUGAAGUGAGUUGUUAAGCUUUUUCCUUAUUGUUAAUAAACCACUAGAAAAGGA